rnacentral:rRNA from 1 species
CGACCGGGUGAGUAACACGUGACUAACCUACCUUCGAGUGGGGGAUAACCUCGGGAAACCGGGGCUAAUACCGCAUAAUAUCUUCGGGAUGAGAAGCCGAAGAUCAAAGGAGCAAUUCGCUGGAAGAGGGAGUCGCGGCUGAUUAGCUAGUUGGCGGGGUAAUGGCCCACCAAGGCUUUGAUCGGUAGCCGGCCUGAGAGGGCGCACGGCCACACUGGGACUGAGACACGGCCCAG